AUAAUCCCCUUUUUGGUAUUAGUAAGUUUCGCUCAUGUACAAGUACAAUAAAUUGUAACUACUUUUGUUGUGUUCAAGCACGGAACUAUAAUGUGUUCAAGCAUUGUUAAUGUAAUAAUAAUUAUAAUUGGAGUCGAAUAUGCGGCGGCACGAAUUAGGUCACGUUUACAUUCUGUGACCGGUCGUAGUUCGUACUCCCAUAUAAAAGGCGUAAGCGCAUACAAGAAACACGCAGCAGCCAAAGUCAAUAACGUGAGCAGAGCGCAUCCAUAGAGCCUGCGUGGGGCGAGGCAGUGGGAUGAAUGACGCAGGUCAAUGUCGGGCCGCGCUCCCCCUCCCCCCACCUCGUUACCUCGCACCCCCCCGCACGGGAAAAUUGGUUUACGAGUCGAAUUGCAGUUAUGUUCAAGAUCAAUUAGUGCUACGCUCUAUGGCUACGCUCGACUACGGCUACGGACACGGGCUACGGUCAUGCUACGCCGGCGAUACAAUACCAUAUCUACACUCUACAGUUUUUUAGGAGAUUUUUUGAGUCUUCAAAAUACAAUUAUGUCGUCUAACGUGAUUUAAUAUUAUAAUGUUAUUAUUUAUA